AUUGAACGCUGGCGGCAUGCUUUACACAUGCAAGUCGAACGGCAGCGCGGGGGCAACCCUGGCGGGCGAGUGGCGAACGGGUGAGUAAUGCAUCGGAACGUAUCCUGUAAUGGGGGAUAACGUAGCGAAAGUUACGCUAAUACCGCAUACGCUCGAGAGAGGAAAGUGGGGAGUCGCAAGACCUCACGUUAUAGGAGCGGCCGAUGUCCGAUUAGCUAGUUGGUGGGGUAAAGGGCCUACCAAGGCGACGAUCGGUAGCUGGUCUGAGAGGAUGAUCAGCCACACUGGGACUGAGACACGGCCCAGACUCCUACGGGAGGCAGCAGU
rnacentral:rRNA from 1 species